GUGUCAGCAGCCGCGGUAAUACGUAGGUGGCGAGCGUUGUCCGGAAUUACUGGGCGUAAAGGGUGCGUAGGCGGGAUCUUAAGUCAGAUGUGAAAUUCCGGAGCUUAACUUCGGAAUUGCAUUUGAAACUGGGAUUCUGGAGUGCAGGUGAGGAAAGCGGAAUUCCUAGUGUAGCGGUGAAAUGCGUAAAUCUUAGGAAGAACACCAGGGGCGAAGGCGGCUUUCUGGACUGUAACUGAGGCUGAUGCACGAAAGCGUGGGGAGGAAAAAAGAUUAGA
rnacentral:rRNA from 1 species